rnacentral:lncRNA from 1 species
UAAAUAUCAAAGUUGUGCUCGAUCUCUUGUGAUGGGACUCACCAUUAUUUGAAAUUGUUGAUUGUCCAAUACGAAUAUGAUGUAAACAUGUUAUUUAGGUUUAGGUUAUCUAUUCGGUUAAUCUAUCUACUUCUGCAAUAUCUGUCAAGAUCAAUUCAAUUCCUAUACAGGAACCAAAGUUUAAGGGUUGGAAAGAGAACGUUUAUAUUGUUUUUGGCGACAUGGAUAUAGACUUUGCUUUAAGGAUUGAAUAGUCCACUACUCUUACGAAUAAGAGUUCCGUUAAUAAAACGGUACUAGAAUAAGUGGGAUUAUUCAAACUACAUAAGCUUUAUGAUCAUAAAGCAUAAAAUUCUAGCAACAUUCAGGGGCAUUCUAUCUAAUAAGGUUAACAGCCAAGAAAUUUCUUAAAUAAAUAUUCCUAAAUGCUUUUGUGAAAAUAUGAUAAGGUCGAAACUAGUAUGCUUCUAGCAAACUUGAUUUCAAUGUAGUAUAAGGCUAAAGAAAAAUAUACAGGGAGUAAAUCAUGGAUGUGUCUCACCUUACUUCAAAACCAACGACAUUAAAGUAUGAGUUGUUUGAUGACUUGUUCAUGCAUAUGUUUUUUAUUUCUCUUCCUGCACAAUUCAGUUAAUUUAAGGUUAAUUCCA